rnacentral:lncRNA from 1 species
UAAUUUGAGAAACGACGAAGGAAUAUUUUCAGGCGCUUGUUACCAAAAAAAUAUUUUCAGGCGCUUAUUUAUUUUUUCUCAAAGAAAAAAAAAUCUCAAGCGCCAGCUUUCGACGCGUUCGGCGUUAAGGAGAUGCAAGAGAUGACGUGCCAAGUUAUGGUACAUGUUUUUUCUCUUUAUUUAGGUCAAGGCCGCGUUCACCACGUGCUCUUUCUAGAAUGUAAUUUGUUAACAAAUUUGGUAUUAAUCAACUUUUUUUUUUUUUUUUUUUUUUUUGUAAAAGGGCAGGUAUUAAUCAACUUUAUUACCAGUUAAAUUCCUUAUCCACAUACCAACUGUAUAUAGAUAUCUUGUGAUCCACCGUAAUAUCCAAAUUAUUUGGUAAGUAGGUCUGAGUUUUCUGUAAAUCCUUUUACGAUUAACCAUAUAAUUUAUUUGUAUUCAGAACUAAAUAAUCCCUUUUUCUGUUACAAGAUUUUAAAGACUCAGUUAGGCAUGCUUUUGUCGACUAUCUUGUCUCGGUAGAAACUUUUGAUCAGGACAAUGUAAGAGUAGUGUGAAAAAUAUGGUCAAUGGAGGUUUUUAAGUGAGUCAUUUAUGUUAAAAAUGAUAAAUACAUAAGAGCAAAAUAAACGAAGAUCUCAGAAAAAAAAUUAUACUCAUGAGGGAUUAUUCGUAGUAAAGUUGUCAUCAUUAAUUACGUUUUCAUCGUAUAAUUAGUCUAGUGUUAUCUAA